GCGGAGAGAGAAUGGGGAGC
rnacentral:miRNA from 1 species